rnacentral:rRNA from 1 species
UACGUAGGGUGCGAGCGUUGUCCGGAAUUAUUGGGCGUAAAGCGCGCGUAGGCGGCCUUCUAAGUCAGACGUGAAAUCCCCCGGCUUAACCUGGGAACUGCGUCUGAUACUGGGAGGCUUGAGUAUGGGAGAGGGAUGUAGAAUUCCAGGUGUAGCGGUGAAAUGCGCAGAUAUCAGGAAGAACACCCGUGGCGAAGGCGGCUCUCUGGGACGGUACUGACGCUGAGACGCGAAAGCGUGGGGAGCGAACAGG